AUUGAGCUCUGAAAUCUUGUUGUGUGCUUCAAAUCCGGCAAGUUUCAGAGCUUUUUGA
rnacentral:pre_miRNA from 1 species